GAUGAACGCUGGCAGCGUGCCUAAUACAUGCGAGUCGAGCGAAAAGACGAGGAGCUUGCUCCUCUGACGUUAGCGGCGGACGGGUGAGUAACACGUGGAUAACCUACUUAUAAGACUGGGAUAACUUCGGGAAACCGGAGCUAAUAACGGAUAAUAUAUUGAACCGCAUGGUUCAAUAGUGAAAGACGGUUUUGCUGUCACUUAUAGAUGGAUCCGCGCCGCAUUAGCUAGUUGGUAAGGUAACGGCUUACCAAGGCAACGAUGCGUAGCCGACCUGAGAGGGUGAUCGGCCACACUGGAACUGAGACACGGUCCAGACUCCUACGGGAGGCAGCAGUAGGGAAUCUUCCGCAAUGGGCGAAAGCCUGACGGAGCAACGCCGCGUGAGUGAUGAAGGUCUUCGGAUCGUAAAACUCUGUUAUUAGGGAAGAACAAAUGUGUAAGUAACUAUGCACGUCUUGACGGUACCUAAUCAGAAAGCCACGGCUAACUACGUG
rnacentral:rRNA from 1 species